CCUACGUGGGGCAGCAGUGGGGGAUAGUGCACAAUGGAGGAAACUCUGAUGCAGCGACGCCGCGUGAGGGAAGACGGUCUUCGGAUUGUAAACCUCUGUCUGUGGGGAAGAAAAUGACGGUACCCAAAGAGGAAGCUCCGGCUAACGACGUGCCAGCAGCCGCGGUAAUACGUAGGGAGCGAGCGUUGUCCGGAAUUACUGGGUGUAAAGGGAGCGUAGGCGGGCGAGAAAGUUGAAUGUUAAAUCUACCGGCUUAACUGGUAGCUGCGUUCCAAACUUCUUGUCUUGAGUGAAGUAGAGGCAGGCGGAAUUCCUCUUGUCGCGGUUAACUGCGUCGCUAUUAGGAGGACCACCAGUGGCGCCGGCGGCCUGCUGGGCUUUAACUGACGCUGCGGCUCGAAAGCGUGGGGAGCAAACCGGAUUAGAUACCCGGGUAGUC
rnacentral:rRNA from 1 species